CAAUUUAAAUUCUAUAAAGAAUUUUCAUUUACAUUGAAAUUAAAGUCAUGAAAUUUGACUUAAAUUGA
rnacentral:tRNA from 1 species